rnacentral:misc_RNA from 1 species
UUGAAUAAAUUUGGGAUAGGUUGUUGCUGGCUUUUAGAAGCAUGUGCACACUUACUCCAUUUUUUAACCUCCUGUGCACCUUUGUAAACUUUGAACCUCUCGAGAGAGUUUAAUUACUUCACUCGGUCUGAGAAUUGUCACGCUGCAAAGUUAGACUUUUCUUGUUUCAAGUUUAUGUUUUAAAUACACUCCAUGAAAUAUAUUAGAAUGUUUAUUAUAUUGGCUUUUGUGCCUUUAAAAACAUAUACAACUUUCAACAACGGAUCUCUUGGCUCUCGCAUCGAUGAAGAACGCAGCGAAAUGCGAUAAGUAAUGUGAAUUGCAGAAUUCAGUGAAUCAUCGAAUCUUUGAACGCACCUUGCGCUCCUUGGUAUUCCGAGGAGCAUGCCUGUUUGAGUGUCAUAAAAUUCUCAAGCUUAUCUAGCUUUUUUAAAGUUUAGAUAGACUUGGAUUGUGGGAGUUGCUGGCUUUUCAAAAGUUGGCUCUUCUUAAAUAUAUUAGCAAGAUUAUGGCUAAUCUGUUAUUUGAUAUGAUAAUUAUCUAUAUCAUUGACGAAUAGUAUUUUGCUUCCAAUCAUUAUCUCUGUCGAGAUGAUAUUUUUUGAUUAUU